rnacentral:rRNA from 2 species
CAUUAUAGAGUUUCUACUCUUCUACCCAUGUGAACUUACCUUACUAUCCUCCGGCGGAACGCCCCGGUGCCUUCGGGCCCGGAUCAGGCGCCCGCCGGGGAACAAACAAACUGUAUUUGUCUCCUGUAUACCUCAGAAACUGGCGUAAAGCCGAAAUGUAACAACUUUUGACAAUGGAUCUCUUGGCACUGGCAUCGAUGAAGAACGCAGCGAAAUGCGAUAAGUAAUGUGAAUUGCAGAGCACAGUGAAUCAUCGAAUCUUUGAACGCACAUGGCGCCCGCCGGUAAUCCGGCGGGCAUGCCUGUCCGAGCGUCAUUUCAACCCUCAGAACCCCUCUCUUACGGGAGGGCGUUACUGGUGUUGGGGAACGAGCGUCCACCGCGGCGCCCGUCCCUUAAAUCUAUUGGCGGCUCCGGAGUCUGUCUCCCCUGCGUAGUAUUGCAUCUCGCUUUGGUGACUUCUCCGGGCUGCUGCGGCCUCCUGGCUGCGAAACCCCCACUAGGUUGACCUCGGAUCAGGUAGGGAUACCCGCUGAACUUAAGCAUAUCAAUAAGCGGAGGAAAAGAAACCAACAGGGAUUGCCUCAGUAACGGCGAGUGAAGCGGCAACAGCUCAAAUUUGAAAUCUGGCCUUCGGGUCCGAGUUGUAAUUUGCAGAGGAUGCUUUUGACGAGGUGGCGACCGAGUUCCCUGGAACGGGACGCCGUAGAGGGUGAGAGCCCCGUAUGGUCGCACUGCCGAGUCUUUGUAAAGCUCCUUCAACGAGUCGAGUAGUUUGGGAAUGCUGCUCUAAAUGGGAGGUGUAUGUCUUCUAAAGCUAAAUACCGGCCAGUGACCGAUAGCGCACAAGUAGAGUGAUCGAAAGGUGAAAAGAACUUUGAAAAGAGAGUUAAAAAGUACGUGAAAUUGUCAAAAGGGAAGCAUUUAUGACCAGACUUGGGCGUGGUUGAUCAUCCGGCGUUCUCGCCGGUGCACUCUGCCCGCCUAGGCCAGCAUCAGUUCGCCUCGGGGGAAAAAGGCUUCGGGAAUGUGGCUCCUUCGGGAGUGUUAUAGCCCGUUGCGUAAUGCCCUGGGGUGGACUGAGGUCCGCG